ACCUCCUUUUUUUUUUUUCUAUUUUUCAUAGAAGAUCAGACUGAAAUUGGUGGUGGACUGGUUGGAGAUAAUGAAGUUGGAUGGAGAAAUGAAACAAUGUUGCAUGGAAGAUUGGCAUCUUUCUGGAGCUUCUCUUGUUGACGAAUAGCCGGAGAAGUCCAGCAAGUGAGCUUGGUGGUGAAGUCUAGUUCUUAGGGGCAAUUACAAUUGUAAUUGAAACUUCAAACAUAUUGGAAGUGGAUCGGGG
rnacentral:misc_RNA from 1 species